rnacentral:tRNA from 1 species
GGCCUUGUAGCUCAGUUGGAUAGAGCGUUGGCUGUACCAAAACCUUCCCCUUGCUGGCGUGGGUUCGAAUCCCACCGAGGCCA